rnacentral:siRNA from 1 species
CCCGAGUUCAAGUCCUACCACCA